CCUACGGGAGGCUGCAGUCGAGAAUCAUUCACAAUGGGGGAAACCCUGAUGGUGCGACGCCGCGUGGGGGAAUGAAGGUCUUCGGAUUGUAAACCCCUGUCAUGUGGGAGCAAAUUAAAAAGAUAGUACCACAAGAGGAAGAGACGGCUAACUCUGUGCCAGCAGCCGCGGUAAUACAGAGGUCUCAAGCGUUGUUCGGAAUCACUGGGCGUAAAGCGUGCGUAGGCUGUUUCGUAAGUCGUGUGUGAAAGGCGCGGACUCAACCCGCGGACGGCACAUGAUACUGCGAGACUAGAGUAAUGGAGGGGGAACCGGAAUUCUCGGUGUAGCAGUGAAAUGCGUAGAUAUCGAGAGGAACACUCGUGGCGAAGGCGGGUUCCUGGACAUUAACUGACGCUGAGGCACGAAGGCCAGGGGAGCGAAAGGGAUUAGAUACCCGAGUAGUC
rnacentral:rRNA from 1 species